UAGGGGGCGUAGCAAUACGUCACCGGCGGACGGGUGCGUAACACGUGGGAAUGUACUUAUUGGUUCGGAACAACUCAGGGAAACUUGAGCUAAUACCGGAUAAGCCCUUACGGGGAAAGAUUUAUCGCCGAAAGAUCGGCCCGCGUCUGAUUAGCUAGUUGGUGAGGUAACGGCUCACCAAGGCGACGAUCAGUAGCUGGUCUGAGAGGAUGAUCAGCCACAUUGGGACUGAGACACGGCCCAAACUCCUACGGGAGGCAGCAGUGGGGAAUAUUGGACAAUGGGGGCAACCCUGAUCCAGCCAUGCCGCGUGAGUGAUGAAGGCCCUAGGGUUGUAAAGCUCUUUUGUGCGGGAAGAUAAUGACGGUACCGCAAGAAUAAGCCCCGGCUAACUUCGUG
rnacentral:rRNA from 1 species